rnacentral:rRNA from 1 species
UACGAAGGGGGCUAGCGUUGUUCGGAAUUACUGGGCGUAAAGCGCAUGUAGGCGGCGAUUCAAGUCGGGGGUGAAAUCCUGAGGCUCAACCUCAGAACUGCCUUCGAUACUGCAUUGCUAGAGUAUGGAAGAGGUAGGUGGAACUGCAAGUGUAGAGGUGAAAUUCGUAGAUAUUUGCAAGAACACCAGUGGCGAAGGCGGCCUACUGGUCCAUCACUGACGCUGAGAUGCGAAAGCGUGGGGAGCAAACAGG